rnacentral:rRNA from 1 species
UGGGGAAUAUUGCACAAUGGGCGCAAGCCUGAUGCAGCCAUGCCGCGUGUAUGAAGAAGGCCUCGGGUUGUAAAGUACUUUCAGCGGGGAGGAAGGGAGUAAGGUUAAUAACCUUAUUCAUUGACGUUACCCGCAGAAGAAGCACCGGCUAACUCCGUGCCAGCAGCCGCGGUAAUACGGAGGGGUGCAAGCAGUUAAUUCGGAAAUUAGAUCUGGGCGUAAAAGCGCACGCAGGCGGUCUGUCAAGUCGGAUGUGAAAUCCCCGGGCUCAACCUGGGAACUGCAUUCGAAACUGGCAGGCUGGAGUCUUGUAGA